rnacentral:piRNA from 1 species
GUUUUCGGGAUAGGUCGGUAGCAC